rnacentral:rRNA from 1 species
CCGGACCGCAUACAAGUCUGUUGGAAUACAGCGUCAUAGUGGUGAGAACCCCGUAACUGAUGCGGAUGCCCGGUGCUUUGUGAUACACUUUCGAAGAGUCGAGUUGUUUGGGAAUGCAGCUCUAAAUGGGAGGUACAUUUCUUCUAAAGCUAAAUAUUGGCCAGAGACCGAUAGCGCACAAGUAGAGUGAUCGAAAGAUGAAAAGCACUUUGGAAAGAGAGUCAAACAGCACGUGAAAUUGUUAAAAGGGAAGCGCUUGCAGCCAGACUUGCUUACAGUUGCUCAUCCGGGCUUUUGCCCGGUGCACUCUUCUGUAGGCAGGCCAGCAUCAGUUUGGGCGGUAGGAUAAAGGUCUCUGUCACGUACCUCCUUUCGGGGAGGCCUUAUAGGGGAGACGACAUACUACCAGCCUGGACUGAGGUCCGCGCAUCUGCUAGGAUGCUGGCGUAAUGGCUGUAAGCGGCCCGUCUUGGAACACGGACCAAG